rnacentral:rRNA from 1 species
UACGUAGGGUGCAAGCGUUGUCCGGAAUUAUUGGGCGUAAAGAGCUUGUAGGCGGUUUGUCGCGUCUGCUGUGAAAUUUCGGGGCUCAACCCCGAACUUGCAGUGGGUACGGGCAGACUAGAGUGUGGUAGGGGAGACUGGAAUUCCUGGUGCAGCGGUGAAAUGCGCAGAUAUCAGGAGGAACACCGGAUGGCGAAGGCAGGUCUCUGGGCCAUAACUGACGCUGAGAAGCGAAAGCAUGGGGAGCGAACAGGA